GAUGAACGCUGGCGGCGUGCUUAACACAUGCAAGUCGAACGGAAAGGCCCAAGCUUGCUUGGGUACUCGAGUGGCGAACGGGUGAGUAACACGUGGGUGAUCUGCCCUGCACUUCGGGAUAAGCCUGGGAAACUGGGUCUAAUACCGGAUAGGACCACAUUUUGGAUGGUGUGGUGGAAAGUUUUUCGGUGUGGGAUGAGCUCGCGGCCUAUCAGCUUGUUGGUGGGGUAAUGGCCUACCAAGGCGUCGACGGGUAGCCGGCCUGAGAGGGUGUACGGCCAAUUGGGCACGAAGAUCCGCCCGAGCCCCCUCCGGGGGGCGGCGGUGGGGAAUAUUGCAAAAGGGGCGCAACCCUGAUGCACCGCCCCCGCGGGGGGGAGGCCGCCUUUGGGUUUGAAAACCCUUUCCCUUGGGGACAAGGGGAAGGGGCCGUCACCGGGAAAAGAGCCCCGGGCAACCUACU
rnacentral:rRNA from 1 species